UGCUGGAGGGCGGCGGGGAAGGCUGGCCCCACCCCUCCUCUGUCCUUCCCGGCUGAGCUGGUCCCACGGCCAGGGUCCUGCCACCCAAGUGCGUUCACCCAGCCCCUUGGCCGCGGCGCCUGCUAGGUGAAUGGAGCGUCCGCGACGCGGAGGAAACAGCGCGGGACUCCUGCACCUUUUCCCUGCAGUCCCGACCCCGAGGACCAAAGGGCUUAUUGGGUGUUUGGUGCGCGCACCGAUUGAUCUUUCUACAUCGAUGGUUUGGGAUGUCUUUUGUGCAGCUUCCCCGCGCUUCAGUGCUCCUUUAUUGCCUCAGACACGCGAGGAAUGUCAGGCUCCCAGAGUGAGGACACCCAGGAAAACAAUAGAGGCAAAAAGAUCCUGCUCAGGUCCUGCAGAUUACACACAAACCGAAUCAUUUCUGUAUUCGGCCAAGAUGAAGUUGCAAAAUGGAAAAAGACAGAGCUAUGACAGUGAUGAAAUACUUAAUUGAAACUCAAAUUCAUCCUAAAAACAAAAAGAAAAGCAAAUUCAUAAUUCAGUUUAAUUAAAUGAGUUAGUAAUCACCCAUUAAUGUCUAGUUAAUUGGUUUUUUAAAAAAUUUCUCCUUUAUCCACCCUUUUUUUUCAACUUGAAAGGCUAAUAUCACAUUGAUCAUGAAAUUCAACUUGGAUUCAAUUUUGUAAAAUUGCACAUAUUUAGCCAGAUGUGGGGCACACCUGUAAUCACCGCACUGGGAGGGCUGAGGCAGGAGACUCACCUUGCGUUCCAGGCCAGCAGAGUGAGUUCAAGGCCAGCCUGAAUGAUGUAGCAAGACUCCAUCCCAAUAUACCCAAAAUAAAUAAAUCAUAAAAAUACUAUAUUCUAAUUUGUUUU
rnacentral:lncRNA from 1 species